rnacentral:rRNA from 1 species
UGGGGAAUCUUGCGCAAUGGGCGAAAGCCUGACGCAGCCAUGCCGCGUGAAUGAUGAAGGUCUUAGGAUUGUAAAAUUCUUUUCACCGGGGACGAUAAUGACGGUACCCGGAGAAGAAGCCCCGGCUAACUUCGUGCCAGCAGCCGCGGUAAUACGAAGGGGGCUAGCGUUGCUCGGAAUUACUGGGCGUAAAGGGCGCGUAGGCGGACAUUUAAGUCAGGGGUGAAAUCCCAGAGCUCAACUCUGGAACUGCCUUUGAUACUGGGUGUCUUGAGUGUGAGAGAGGUAUGUGGAACUCCGAGUGUAGAGGUGAAAUUCGUAGAUAUUCGGAAGAACACCAGUGGCGAAGGCGACAUACUGGCUCAUUACUGACGCUGAGGCGCGAAAGCGUGGGGAGCAAACAGGAUUAGAUACCCCCGUAGUCCCUGAGCGGGCUGGCAAGGCGCAU